rnacentral:rRNA from 1 species
GACGAACGCUGGCGGCGUGCUUAACACAUGCAAGUCGAACGGAAAGGCCCUGCUUGCAGGGUACUCGAGUGGCGAACGGGUGAGUAACACGUGGGUGAUCUGCCCUGCACUUCGGGAUAAGCCUGGGAAACUGGGUCUAAUACCGGAUAGGAGCCAUUUUUAGUGUGAUGGUUGGAAAGUUUUUUCGGUGUAGGAUGAGCUCGCGGCCUAUCAGCUUGUUGGUGGGGUAAUGGCCUACCAAGGCGGCGACGGGUAGCCGGCCUGAGAGGGGGGACGGCCACAUUGGGACUGAGAUACGGCCCAGACUCCUACGGGAGGCAGCAGUGGGGAAUAUUGCACAAUGGGCGCAAGCCUGAUGCAGCGACGCCGCGUGGGGGAUGACGGCCUUCGGGUUGUAAACUCCUUUCGCUAGGGACGAAGCUUUGUGUGACGGUACCUAGAGAAGAAGCACCGGCUAACUACGUG